rnacentral:SRP_RNA from 1 species
GCUGGGCGUGGUGGCACAUGCUGUAAUCCCAGUAGCUCGGGAGGCUGAGGCAGGAGGAUCGUGAGUUCAAAGCCAGCCUCAGCAAAAGUGAGGUGCUAAGCAACUCAGUGAGACCCUGUCUCUA